GAUUUGGAAUUUUGAAUGUCAAGUUAUAGAAUACCUAACGGAAAUUCCAUAGACAGGUUGAAUAAGUUUUGACGCAGUAGCACAGGGUUACUGAAGUGAUGAUGGGGACUAUUCUUCCAACAACUUUAACGUUCCUACCCUUUCCAUCAUUGGUUCAAGACUUCAAGCAAGUAUAUCAAUAGCAAUUCCAUUCCUACUCUAGAACGAUAAUGCAGAUACAAAAGAAAUAGAUCAAGAUAAGUUCUGUCAAUGAUAUUGUUACGAAUACCAAUUCAUUUAUUAUUGUCAUCUGUCAGGAUUCUCUGCUGUUACUGAGGACAACCAUGGUGUAGUUGUUGUUGCUCAAGAACAGGAGCUGAUCUUGUUCUCAGUUUCAGGUCUCAAUCUACUACAUGGUCAAUAUGGAACAUCCCACUACGUGCACCAAGUGCUGAAAGUGUUAUUGAAAAGUUUUAUUUGACAUCAUUAGUUUUUGUUACCCA